rnacentral:lncRNA from 1 species
UAAACUGCUUUUAUUAAUGGAUGAAAGAAGAUGAAAAUAUGAAUUUUUCUUUUUUAUUUCCUCUGUAGGGAAACCAUCUUUCUCUGGAUUAUUGAAUGAAGGAAACAUCAGAGGAGUUCGGGCAGUUUCACCGACACACAGCUCUGGAUAAAGUGGAACAUUCCGGGUCUCAGAGCUGAAAUCGAACGGUUUUCAGCAUGAGCCGAGCCUUCAACAGGAAAAAAGUCCGUUCUCCCCGCCGUCGGCCCGGUCGCCGCGUGAACGCGCAUUCAUUAAGAGGAGAUAACGAGGCGCGGUAACGAGCCGCCGG